rnacentral:piRNA from 1 species
UCGGCCGUAGAGACCCCGUCGGACUC